UAUGAGUGCGGAUUGUUACUUACUCUUUCAAAUCAUGUCACUGGUAUAAAAUUAACAAGCCAUAAGUUACAAGUGACUGCCCAAAUACUAUCUAGGGUCAGUGAAGAUUUUAUUCAAGCCUCAUGCUCUCUGGUUUAUAUUAUGUUCCUGAUGAUGACUCUGGAAAGAACAAAGGGGAUGGUUAAAAAUUCUCCUGUUUUAUAAUCCUAAUUAUGGACUAAAUGAAAGUAAUACUAUUAUAAGUUUAGCACAGACUGAAGAUAGAAAGACCAGUAUAGCAGCAAUAAAGCAUAUCAACUUGUGAAUAAACAUAUUAAUUGUGAACACAGACCAUAAUAUUGAACUAUGGCGUCUUCUGGUUCAAGGUGCUUUUUCUGCUACAUGAAAAAGAACAAAUGAAUGGGAAAUACAAAGAUACUGUACGGGAUAACUGAUUUCACACCUUCUCUUUAGAAACAGGGUAGGUAGCAAGGCAAACUAAAGCAGGUGUGACUUAGUCCCCCAGGACUACAAGGUGUCCAAGCACCAUUUGUCUCCCGGCUCAGUGGUACCAGGAUGAGGGUCCACCACCAUCCCUUCAGACCUUACAGCUCUAGAAAGCUGUUAAUAUAUGUUCAAUUAGUGACAGGGUUAAGAAGCACACCAGUGUGUGACAGCUCACCUCCUUCGUCAGCCGCCAUUUAACAUUUCAGAACGGUAACUUUUAAUUAUAAUUUAUUUUAUACAUGCUAAUAAAAUUUAAAUUAUAGCUAAACCUAAACUAUAAUAAUGGUUGAACAUUGGUAUCCUCACACACACUGAACGAAUCCUGAAAAUUAAUGACACAUAUACUACGUGGUGUUUACACUAUCCCCACGCAGAGUACACUUCUCCAAAAGCUAAAAAUGUGAAGAAAGUUCAAACAGGAUAAUCUCCAUAAUCAUUAAGAAAUCUAAACUCAAAGUACCUAUUCAGGAAAUGAGAACUCUCAACUCCAGUAAUAUAGAGUCACUAACUCUAUUAUGAGGCUAAUAUAUCAUUUUUCAAUAUAGAUUCAUUUGUUCUAUGACAUGCAUGCCUGCUUAAAUAUCGACUUCCCUGGCUAUUCAUCUUAUCUACUAAGCAAUGUAAGCAGGUAAAUUCAAACUAGUUUUCCAGUAGACACCAUAGGUAGUGCAGAGUUUAAGUCAUAAUAUUUUAAGGUUGUUGCAAAGAUGCAAAAAGAGCUACAUAUUAUACUGCACUGUAUUGGGGGGGGGGGUCACACGAUUAAUGUGCAUGCAUGAAAUUCUUCCAAUAUUCUGCAUCCUCAUUUUUAAUGAGCAGAAAACAUUAGUUUACCUUAUCUUAAAGAGAUAAUAAAUUAAUCUGAGCAUGCCAUUGGUAUGUUUCAGAGGUAGGGAAGUGCAAAGGGGCAGGCCUGACUUACACCAGAGUGGACAUCAAAGGAUCCAUCAUCCACCUCUCUGCCUUUAAAACUGAAGUCAUUAUUUUGAGACAGCCACCCCAUUUCAAGACAGGCAGUAUAUUCUAAUGGCAAGCCGACACAGAACCAGUGUCUUUCAUGUCCUGCUAUUUAUAAACGCAAUCGGAUUUCCUGCAUAGGAAUUUCUAGAUACCUUCCUUUCGCCCGUUUAUUGGUUGCACCUUUUUCAACUGUGCUUGCCAAGUUAUGAGGAUCAAACUCUGGCCCAGUAUAGCUCUCCCUUCCUAUGGUUUGGGGUAGUGGAAUGCAGGCUCUUGAGAGAACUGUCUUCAGGUCUCUUUUCAGCCUGCAUAUAAGCAUUUGAUGCUGUCCUCAAAGCAGGGCCUUUCUGAGCACACUGCUGACUGCUGGCGCUUCCCUGUACUGUGGUGUUUAUGCCUGUCAAAUCAAGGCCUCACUCAAGCAUCCCCUUCUUCCAAGAAAUCUCUCCCGCAUCCUCCACCAAGGGUUAUUCUGCACCUUGUUAAUGUAUCAUUUCGGCCUCUCUGCUGGUACUUCACCAGUCUCUUUUAAAAAUAGCUUCCUUUCCUUUCUUUUCUGAAGCAAGCUAGAGCAUACAGGGUUUGAGGACGGCAAUGAAACGCUCUAUUUUCUACCAGAUCAUAUUUAUAUCACACAUUAUUUUCCCACUCAUCUUAAGUAUACUAGAGCUAUUCUUGCUCAAAUCUGCUUGAACCUUAUGACUAUACAAGGUACCUCAGCUCUAGAUAAGCUAUCUAUAAAAUCUUAACAAGCAUAGGCCCUUUUUAUAAUACAUUUCUGAACCAGUUGGGGCCAUCUUCUGAAGACUAAAGGAAAUUGAGCAACUUAUUUUUGAGAUCUGAUUUUAAAACGAAAUCAAUGCAAAACACCAGCCUGGAGUCAGUUUCAAACAUGAACAAUCCAAUCCCGGACAAAAUAAUGAAAAUGAACACAUCCUAUAAGGUACAACAACUAGAAAUAUUUAGCCUGGGUGAAGAAAAAGAGAAUAAAUAAGGUGACCAUUAUCACCUAAAUAACUGUAGCAAUGUCUGCCAGACAAUGGGCAAAUUUAUUCUGCAUUGCUGCUGAAAAUAUGCUGCUCAUGAAAAGAAAUAUCCCAAAGUAGGCAGAGCUUCCCAAAGAAAAUAGUGUUUAAGUAGAGGCUGAAUACACAGCCCGGGUUGAACUGUCCUGAAUUAUGUCGUCCAUGGCUGGGGGUUAGAUGGCUCCAAAGGUCUUAUCUAUUCCUACAAGAGACUUUACAUUGCAAAGCACCAGGGCCCUCAGUUAACAGCGCAAAAGCAAUACAUCAUGUACUAUACUGAACGCAUUAGUCAGUAUCAUUUUAGAGACUUAAAUGUGCUCAAUAAGUUACCUCAGCCACACUUACUACACAUCGUAUCACAGUGAGAGAAGAAAAACAUCCAAGAGAUUCUCAGCUGCCCCUAAAGGUGCAGAGGUGGCUCACACAUAAACUGUUAACUCACUAGGAAAACAAAGCACCCGCAACUAAGCUCUGUGUGCCAUAGCACCAAGCCACACGCAUAUUGCAAAACAUGCUACUGUUCGUCCCUCUCCCAUCUUCUGUCUCAUUUCCCAGGGUCACUCACCUGUCAAAUACAAAUAACAACAGUUAUUUCCUUUAUGCAGUGAUGUGGCAUAAUGUAAAACUUAAACCCAAACCAGUUGGCUAAAAGGCUAUCACAAGUGUUAGGUACACAAGGAGACACUGUUUGUUUGGCUGUUUGUUUGUUUGUUUGUUUGUUGGCUAUAAGAUGGACUCAUAUAGUCUUGGCCAGUUUAAAAACCACAGUAAUUAUUACUGUUUUUGAAAUGUCCUCUUCUUGUCUUCUAUUGGCCCCUCUUAUAUCACUCAUAAGAAUAAAAAGAGGGUGAUCAGAACAAUUUCAUUGUGAUAUACAUUUGUGGCAUUAUCCAUUAAGGGAUAAGACUUUUCCAGCCGUUAAUGAUCACUGUCAGAUUUCAUUAGGUUUAACACUAGCAAACUCUCCCCAAACAGCACCAAAACUCAACUGAUGAUUUAACAGACUCGAAGUUUGUCCAUUAGAAAACUCUAACAUCCACACUGUGUGUCCAGUUACUUGUUACAUUCAAUACUGUUGAAUGAUGUGUUUUUUUUAAAGGUCAUUUAGAAUAUUCUGAGCCACUUGGCCCAUUUUAAAGGCUACACUUGAUUAAAAUUGGGACCAAGUUCAUCAUGCAUAUUACUAAGGUCAUUUGAACAAGUAAACAGAUUACACAUUCAAAAACAAUUGCCUGUGGAUGUAUUCUAUUUCGUGGGGUUUCUUUAUUUUAUUUAUAAAUACAGCUGUAACUAGCUCCAUAUUUUGUUAGCCUUGCCUGGUAAUGGUCUAUACCAAGUUAAAACCCAUGAGGAGACAUUAUCAGAAGCUAUGGAGAUUCUGAUCAUUAUCUCUCUACAAACACAUAUUCUGUAAUAAACUGCAGCAAUAAUAAUCUGUCUCCUCAAGAAGGUUCUGCUAACCCUUGUCACAAACAUACUGCUGUAUGUUGGGCUGUUUUUUCCUCCUGCAACUGAAUUAUUCUCAAAAGUUACUGUUGCUUUGCCUCUAAAAAUAGCCUGAUUCCCUUGUAAUGCCCUGCUCUGUUCCCCAGAGGCAGAGCAGUGAUCCCAGCAAAGCUUCACUUUCACAGACGAAAAAAGCCAGCAGAAUAUGAUAGAUGUACAGUCACUUGGCCUGAGUCAUUUUGAAAAUCAAUAAUGAGGCAAGCAAUAAAGUGCUAGGGUCAGGGUUUAGAGCCAUCCAUUCUGGUGGCUCCUCCAGCCGCACCACGAGAUUUAACGAGCCCAUCCUCAGAAGAGCAGAGCUAGCAUCUGAAAUCUUCGUUUUUAUUCCAAACGUUCUAUACUUCUAGAAUAAACUUUGACACAUGGCUAAGGACACGAAAAUAAACCAAGUGUUUAUAACCUUGUGGUUUUCUUCCUUCUUUAAAGGCAUGGAGACUAUCCCAACUGUAAGAAAUCAAGGGAAGAAAGAAACAAAAGUUUGAUCAUUGCUCCUCAGGCAAUUACAAGCUGAACUCCCCAUGACCUAUCUACAAAGUGCUGGGCUGGCCAUCAGGAGAGUCCUAUGGGACGCUGCUCAAGACAGAGAAUUUCACCACCAGCUUUGUGAGACAAGACAAAGUUUCAUUCCAACUCUGCCCUCCAUUUCACUUGGCCUCCACGGGGCAAGGGUAAAUGGGGGAAAAUAAUAUAGUCUCUUUUUUUACGCCAAGCUGGCCCACCAAGAAACGUCCUUACACUUCCAACCUGUAAAGGAGUCAGAGCUGCUUCACACAACUCUCUUCCAGAGUCUGUUGAGCAAAAAAAAAAAAAAAAAAAAAAAAAAAGUGAGGGAAAACUCACUCCUCAUACAGACAAAUCCCAGUUCAAGUGACUAUAAAGCCCCGUCCUCAGCCAUCGAAGAGUUAGCAUGUCCACUUGGGUGAAAACAGAAAGGGGAUUUAGGCCAUGUCUUCAAGAGGUUUUUGUAAUUAGAGAACACAGAAUAAAACGGGAAACAGCAAGACACAUAUGGGGGGAGCAUCCUGAGGGACAGCCCAUUGAGACAGUCUAGUCAGGACGCUGAUCCAUUUAAAGUUCCUUCCCUAGGAUGUAUGCCUACCCCAUCUUGCAGAGAGAUAAAAUGUCACGUGACCACUGAAAACCACCAUGGUCGGCAGGUUUUACUGGAGCCAUCCUAAUCUCCUACAAACUUUAACAUUUGAAUAAGAUUAAAAUACAAAUUCCAAAUGCAAUCUUUGUGUCAGCAUACCCACAAAUGCAUUUAUAAUACAAACUGAUGUGUCAUUUGAAAAUUUUUAAAAAAUGUGUUUUAUUCUCUUGCCAGGCCUAACAACACAGAAGUAUUAUUAUUUAAAUUCCUAUGUGGCUUUUUUUCCUUUUUUCUUUUUUCUUUUUUCUUUUCAGGACAGGACCCUAUGUUUGGUGCUGUUUUAUACACUCAAACCUCAAAAAAUUAAAAGUAAAUAGUUUUAUAAGU
rnacentral:lncRNA from 1 species